GAUGAACGCUGGCGGCGUGCCUAAUACAUGCAAGUCGAGCGAACAGACGAGGAGCUUGCUCCUCUGACGUUAGCGGCGGACGGGUGAGUAACACGUGGAUAACCUACCUAUAAGACUGGGAUAACUUCGGGAAACCGGAGCUAAUACCGGAUAAUAUAUUGAACCGCAUGGUUCAAUAGUGAAAGACGGUUUUGCUGUCACUUAUAGAUGGAUCCGCGCCGCAUUAGCUAGUUGGUAAGGUAACGGCUUACCAAGGCAACGAUGCGUAGCCGACCUGAGAGGGUGAUCGGCCACACUGGAACUGAGACACGGUCCAGACUCCUACGGGAGGCAGCAGUAGGGAAUCUUCCGCAAUGGGCGAAAGCUUGACGGAGCAACGCCGCGUGAGUGAUGAAGGUCUUCGGAUCGUAAAACUCUGUUAUUAGGGAAGAACAAAUGUGUAAGUAACGAUGCACGUCUGGACGGUACCGAUCAGAAAGCCACGGCUAACUACGUG
rnacentral:rRNA from 1 species